rnacentral:rRNA from 2 species
GAGUAAUGUCUGGGAAACUGCCUGAUGGAGGGGGAUAACUACUGGAAACGGUGGCUAAUACCGCAUAACGUCGCAAGACCAAAGAGGGGGACCUUCGGGCCUCUUGCCAUCAGAUGUGCCCAGAUGGGAUUAGCUUGUUGGUGAGGUAACGGCUCACCAAGGCGACGAUCCCUAGCUGGUCUGAGAGGAUGACCAGCCACACUGGAACUGAGACACGGUCCAGACUCCUACGGGAGGCAGCAGUGGGGAAUAUUGCACAAUGGGCGCAAGCCUGAUGCAGCCAUGCCGCGUGUAUGAAGAAGGCCUUCGGGUUGUAAAGUACUUUCAGCGGGGAGGAAGGUGUUGUGGUUAAUAACCGCAGCAAUUGACGUUACCCGCAGAAGAAGCACCGGCUAACUCCGUGCCAGCAGCCGCGGUAAUACGGAGGGUGCAAGCGUUAAUCGGAAUUACUGGGCGUAAAGCGCACGCAGGCGGUCUGUCAAGUCGGAUGUGAAAUCCCCGGGCUCAACCUGGGAACUGCAUUCGAAACUGGCAGGCUUGAGUCUUGUAGAGGGGGGUAGAAUUCCAGGUGUAGCGGUGAAAUGCGUAGAGAUCUGGAGGAAU